UACGGGGGGGGCAAGCGUUGUUCGGAAUUACUGGGCGUAAAGGGUCUGUAGGUGGCUUGCUAAGUCAGACGUGAAAUCCCUCAGCUUAACCGGGGAACUGCGUCCGAUACUGGUUGGCUUGAGUUUGGGAGAGGGAUGCGGAAUUCCAGGUGUAGCGGUGAAAUGCGUAGAUAUCUGGAGGAACACCGGUGGCGGAGGCGGCAUCCUGGACCAAUACUGACGCUGAGGAGCGAAAGCCAGGGGAGCAAACGGG
rnacentral:rRNA from 1 species